rnacentral:lncRNA from 1 species
GUAAUUAAGAAGAGAGACAAUCCUAAUCACACAAGACCUUAAAAGCUGAGAACUUCCUCCUGCUGGGGACAGGACAGAUGAGGCAGAAGGGGAGGUUAGGGAGGUUUGAAGAGUGAGAAGAACUUCUGCAGUGGCUGACUUGGAAGAUGAAGGAGGUUAUGAACCAGGGAAUGGGGGCAGCCUCUAGAGGCUGAGAACCUGCUGACACCUACCCACAACCGCUAAGGAAAUGAAGACUUUAAUUCCACAACUGCAUGCAACUAAACUCAGCCAACAACCUGAAUAAGUCGGAAAAAGGCUUCUCCAGAGCCUCCAGAUAAGAGGCCAGGCUGGCGACACCUUGAUUUUGACCUUGUGAGACCUAGAGCAGAGAAACUAGCCAAGAUCACUCAGACUUCUGAUCUACAGAACUGUGAGACCGUAAAUUUAUGUUGUAUUAAGCCACUAAUUGCGUGGGAAUUUGUUACAGGAGCAAUAGAAAAUGAAUACACCUUCUGAUGUAGUUUAAUCAGUUGACAUUAGGGGUGACACCAAGAUGUGCUACACUGAACCCAACUUCUGCAUGUUUAAGACAAGACGCAAGGUCAAAAAUUUACAUCAGGUAUCUGAAUGUGUAGCAUAUACAACUGAGUGUUGAAAGAAGACAAAAUCGUUUUCAUCACGAAGAAUAUGUGCUCAGUAAGAAUCAGAAUGUUCAAUUGUGUGAAGGUGGGAGAUGGGAAGAUUGGUAUUAUGGCCUGGAUCCAGAAAUCAGUCUUCCACUAUAGGAAAUGGGAAUUUAAAGAUGAUCAGAAGACAGUUGGGAGCAGAGUGAGAAUAAGAACCCUCAACUGCUGUCUCACCUUUCAGAUCACGAAGAAGUUUUUUACAAUGAGCAGAACACUCAACCUGAAAGCAGAAUGGAUUGAGUCACUGCAGCGUGGCAGUGGAAUGGUGUUUGAUGUUGGCAAAGGAAACAUGUACUUCUAGACUGGACAGUUUUCCCUUAGUUUACAGUUUCCAAAUAGAGACAUCACUUUGAAAUAACAUGGAGAACAUACAUGGAUGUACUGAACGAAGAAUAAAGUCUGUGUUGCAGUCCUGUCUCCAUUGACUUUUACAAAUAUGGCUUUGGAUGAAUCACCUAAGUUUUAUUUUUGAGAAUUUACGCUUACCAUGUAUAAAAUGAUAUUGCUAAUAUGUUUGCUGCCUACCCCAUUGGGUUUUGUGAGGAAUAAAUGAUAAUGCUAAGAAAAAGGCAUUGAGAAUUAUAACUCAUUAUUCAAAUGCAAGUU